CUCGCGAGACUCGGCUAAUGUGGCUAAUGCUAACGUUGUCCUGUUUCCUACGCCAGUGCGGGAUUUAAGCCUGUUCAGAAACAGGACUGGGAAUGUGAAACACUCCUUAGAAAGGGAAGAAACAUCACACACACACGGAUAAGUCUGUGAAGUCAGCUGCCGAAGAGAAACACCGAGCCUGUCUCUAUUAAAGCAGCCAUCUGCAGGGGAGCCUCUGGUCCAGAGGGAUGAUGACGCACCAGAGACAGUCACACAUAGACUGAAGACCUAUGAAACCCAGACAGAGCCAGUCUUAGAGUACUACAGUUUUUUCAGCGAUUCUGCAGCAGGCUGUGGACAAGCUCUCAUCUUUAAUAAAGGACCUCAUGGCUAAGAAACAAUAUUGCAGCAACAGUGGAAUUACAACAGUCUGCUGAUGCUGAG